GGUAGGGCUUCCGGACCUGGUGGCCGGCCCGGUCUUCAAAACCGGUGAGGGGCGCCGAGAGGCGUCCCUGGCGAGUUCGAUUCUCGUGCCCUACC
rnacentral:tRNA from 17 species